GAUGAACGCUGGCGGCGUGCCUAACACAUGCAAGUCGAGCGGUCUCUUCGGAGAGAGCGGCGGACGGGUGAGUAACGCGUGGGUAACCUGCCCUGUACACACGGAUAACAUACCGAAAGGUAUACUAAUACGGGAUAACAUACGAAAGUCGCAUGGCUUUUGUAUCAAAGCUCCGGCGGUACAGGAUGGACCCGCGUCUGAUUAGCUAGUUGGUAAGGUAAUGGCUUACCAAGGCAACGAUCAGUAGCCGACCUGAGAGGGUGAUCGGCCACACUGGAACUGAGACACGGUCCAGACUCCUACGGGAGGCAGCAGUGGGGAAUAUUGCACAAUGGGCGAAAGCCUGAUGCAGCAACGCCGCGUGAGCGAUGAAGGCCUUCGGGUCGUAAAGCUCUGUCCUCAAGGAAGAUAAUGACGGUACUUGAGGAGGAAGCCCCGGCUAACUACGUGCCAGCCGCCGCCGUAACAC
rnacentral:rRNA from 1 species